ensembl:lncRNA
CUCACCCUGAAGGAAGAAGACUAUUUGCAGAAGCAGUGGCUGAUUUGGAAAUGCACGAGAAGUAUUCCGUUCUGUAAGAAAAAAAAAGAAAGCUGCAUGUCUGAUAACGGGUGGUAGGAAACCAAACUGUGGGCUCCAGAAACGGUACCUUUAAUACAUGGGCUCUGGGCAUCAGUCUGCCUCCCCUUCACACUCCUCAUCAAGAAAGGUGCUUAAUGCAGGGGUACAGCUGUCCAGGUCUUUCAUGUUCAGAGGUUAAGGAGGAAAUGUGCUGGCAGAUGUGACCUGGAAAAACUCAAGGCAUGCUUUGUUGGCAGCCUGAAAACACCCCCCUCAAACCUAAAUAGGGCGCAGAGCAAAGCCAAAGCAAGACCUGCUUGAGUUAGUUUGUCAAAACAAUCACACUCCGGGAGGAGCUUAUAAAUAUUUAUCUGCUUCAGAGUAUUUCAUUUUGUAAAGGAAAGGGGGAAGGAGCUGGAGUGGGGAAAAGAAGACCGGUGUCAUGCAGGGCCCUGCUCCUUUCAUAGGAAAAAACACCAGUGUUUAAUUUAAAAGGGCAUAAAUAUAAGCCAAACGCCACUUUACUUUCAUGUUAGUCACUGGCUAUUAAAUUACAUCACAAGCACUACGUGUGGGACCAGGAGAGUGCACAGUUAUUUCUGUCUUCUAAACCAGAGUGCAAGUCUCAAGGUAAUUACUUUGGAUCCAAGUGUAAUUACCAGCUGAUCUGCAGGAACAGACACAGUAGUCACAUUCAUUCACGGCAGCAUUAGAGCCUGGUGAUAACACAGCAUCAUUAACACAGCUUAGCACUCCAUCCGUGGCUGCAGGCCGUGGCUUUCCCUGGGAAGCAUUCCGGUCCAACCCACGAGGAGUCACAGAUGCUGCCCUGGGUCUGCACACGAGCAGGGUGGUGCAAGCUGUGUCAACAGCAAACAUGAAAUUAAGUCAGAGAAGAGAUUUUCUGCACUGUAUUUCUCCUUUUAGUGGUAUUUCUGCAGUCUGUCCUUACUUUUUCCUUGGCAGAGCACUGCACACCCUGGGAAGGAGGUGCUGCUUCCCCCCAAGUCACUGCCUUUCUGUUUAGCUUUGCUCUGCUUUGCUCUGCUCCACCGUGACAGCAUCAUGCUACGAUUCAGGAAUGUUUUCUCUUGAGCUCACCCCUCAUCCGUCCCUUUUGGAUUCGCUUUUCUUUAUUCCUUUAUCUUUUUUUUUUUUUUCAAGGCUGCGAGCAUCACAGUAAACAACCCUUUUAUUCUGAUGGUCUUGAAAGCUUUCUCUGCACCUCCAAGAAGGCCAGAAAAAUUCUUCAGAAAGAGAAAAGGAGAAAAAAAAAAAUCCUCCUUUCUUUAGAAAAUUCCUUGGUUUGUUACCGUGCUUUCCUAACAUUGCAUUGCUCCGCAGACAGCACCAUUAACAGACUGAGCUUAGAAAUUAAAACAUAUAUCUUUAAAAAAUACCUUUUUAAUGUAGCAUUUUCAAGUACCCUUAUUUUUUUAUCAGUUCUAGAUCGUAAAUGCGAGAAAAUGAAAAGAUGACAGAGCACAGCUUGACAUGAUUUCCUAUAAGAAGUGUGGGACCUAAGAUGACACAAAUGAGCCAGGCGAUCGCUCCCCGCUCCUGUAGGUAGCAAUGCAUUCGCACACCAUUCACAUUCAGCGAUGUUAAAGUGAGAUUGGCAGGUCUGUUGCACCGGAGCUGUCGGCCAUGCUGUUCCAGUUCAGGGGCUCCUGCAACAGAAAAGAUCAGCUGUUGGAGAACCCAUGGAAAGCCCUGGGGGAGAGCCAUGGCCGCAAGCUGGUAUCAAUACAUUAAACAGCUGUGCUGGAAAAGUGAAAUUGAUUCAAGGCCUUCAGUGCUCCCUGCCAAAAAAAGCCUCCUGAAAGGAUCUAUUCUGUAUUGAAUUACAGUCUGGAAAAGUUCAAUAGGUUAUUGUACAAACAGAGAGCAAAAGCUCGUCAACAAUGGAGCAAGAGUGAUUGUGAGGCUCCUUUGUGCUUGCCAGCCCCGAGCCCCUCGCAAACUCGGAUGUUAAAUCAGUUUAAUUAAAAUGGUGGGCUUCAAAUGCGUUGGGUUUUUUAAUGCAUAUCUCUAUGUGAAGACACGUGGGCUGAGCGAUGUUAACCUGCCUGCGCUCACAGCCCCUUGGACCUUUCCUC